rnacentral:rRNA from 1 species
UUAAAGAGUUCUAUAACUCCCAAACCCAUGUGAACAUACCUAACGUUGCCUCGGCAGGUCGCACCUACCUUGUAGCACCCUACCCUGUAGGGCCUACCCGGGAGGUGCGGGUAAGCCUGCCGGCGGCCCACCAAACUCUGUUUGAUAUUGAAUUCUGAACCUAUAACUAAAUAAGUUAAAACUUUCAACAACGGAUCUCUUGGUUCUGGCAUCGAUGAAGAACGCAGCGAAAUGCGAUAAGUAAUGUGAAUUGCAGAAUUCAGUGAAUCAUCGAAUCUUUGAACGCAUAUUGCGCCCAUUAGUAUUCUAGUGGGCAGGACCGUUCGAGCGUCAUUUCAACCCUUAAGCCUUCGUUGCUUAGUGUUGGGAGCCUACGGCAACGUAGCUCCUCAAAGUUAGUGGCGGAGUUGGUUCACACUCUAGACGUAGUAAUUUUUUAUCUCGCCUAUUAGUUGGACUAAUCCCCUGCCGUAAAACCCCCAAUUUAUCAAGGUUGACCUCGAAUCGGUUCAGACAAACUCGCUAAAUUGAAGCAUCUUAGUCAGCGAAGGAAAAGAAACCAACAGGGAUUGCCCUAGUAACGGCGAGUGAAGCGGCAACAGCUCAAAUUUGAAAUCUGGCCCUCGGGUCCGAG